GGGACACGUGGUAUCCUGUCUGAAUAUGGGGGGACCAUCCUCCAAGGCUAAAUACUCCUGACUGACCGAUAGUGAACCAGUACCGUGAGGGAAAGGCGAAAAGAACCCCGGCGAGGGGAGUGAAAAAGAACCUGAAACCGUGUACGUACAAGCAGUGGGAGCACCUUCGGGUGUGACUGCGUACCUUUUGUAUAAUGGGUCAGCGACUUAUAUUCUGUAGCAAGGUUAACCGUAUAGGGGAGCCGCAGGGAAACCGAGUCUUAACUGGGCGUUAAGUUGCAGGGUAUAGACCCGAAACCCGGUGAUCUAGCCAUGGGCAGGUUGAAGGUUGGGUAACACUAACUGGAGGACCGAACCGACUAAUGUUGAAAA
rnacentral:rRNA from 1 species